UAAGGAAUAUUGGACAAUGCCCGCAAGGGUGAUCCAGCCAUGCCGCGUGCAGGAAGAAGGCCCUAUGGGUCGUAAACUGCUUUUGAACAAGAGAAAACCCUCCUACGUGUAGGAGGCUGAUAGUAUUGUUAGAAUAAGCAUCGGCUAACUUCGUGCCAGCAGCCGCGGUAAGACGAAGGAUGCAAGCGUUAUCCGGAUUCAUUGGGUUUAAAGGGUGCGUAGGCGGCCUGAUAAGUCAGUGGUGAAAUCUCCUCGCUUAACGAGGAAACUGCCAUUGAUACUGUCGGGCUUGAGUACAGAUGCUGUGGGCGGAAUAUGACAUGUAGUGGUGAAAUACAUAGAGAUGUCAUAGAACACCGAUUGCGAAGGCAGCUCACAAAACUGUAACUGACGCUGAGGCACGAAAGUGCGGGGAUCAAACAGGAUUAGAUACCCCUGUAGUCC
rnacentral:rRNA from 1 species